UACGGAGGGUGCAAGCGUUAAUCGGAAUUACUGGGCGUAAAGGGCGCGUAGGCGGCCUUCUAAGUCGAACGUGAAAUCCCCGGGCUCAACCCGGGAACUGCGUCCGAUACUGGGAGGCUUGAAUCCGGGAGAGGGAUGUGGAAUUCCAGGUGUAGCGGUGAAAUGCGUAGAUAUCUGGAGGAACACCGGUGGCGAAGGCGGCAUCCUGGACCGGUAUUGACGCUGAGGCGCGAAAGCCAGGGGGAGCAAACGGG
rnacentral:rRNA from 1 species